GAGGGUGUAGCUCAGUGGUUAGAGCGCAUGCUUAGCCUUCACAAGGUCCUGGGUUCAAUUCCCAGUACCUCCA
rnacentral:tRNA from 1 species